ACAGUGGUGAUUCAGUGGUAGAACUCUCACCUUCCAGGUAGGAGACCUGGGUUUAAUUCUCAGCCAAUGUA
rnacentral:tRNA from 1 species